rnacentral:rRNA from 1 species
GGCAGGCUAACACUGCAGGUCAAGCGGCUAGCGGGGAAAGUAGCUCCGCUACUUUUGCCCGGCGCAGCGGCGGACGGGUGAGUAAUGCCUGCGAAAUUGCCCGAGAUCGGAAGGAGGGAUAACAGUUGGAAACGACUGCGUAAGUACCGCAUACGCCCUACGAGGGGAAAGCAGGGGACCAUUCGGGGCCUUGCGCGAUUGGAUAUGCCCAGGAUGGGAUUAGCUAGUUGAGUGAGGUAAUGGCUCACCAAGGCGACGAUCCCAUAGCUGGAUCUGACGAGGAUGAUCAGACCACACUGGAACUUGAGACACGGAUCCAGACUCACUACAGCAGGCAAACAAUGCGGAAUAUUGCACAACGGGGGAAACCCUGAUGCAGCCAUGCCGAAGUGUGUUGAAGAAAGCCUACGCGGAUUAGUAAAUCAGCGAGGAGGAAAGGUCAGUAGCUAAUAUCUGCUGGCUGUGACGUUACUCGCAGAAGAAGCACCGGCUAACUCCGUGCCAGCAGCCGCGGUAAUACGGAGGGUGCAAGCGUUAAUCGGAAUUACUGGGCGUAAAGCGCACGCAGGCGGUUGGAUAAGUUAGAUGUGAAAGCCCCGGGC